CCGGGCCUUUCUAGGUCUGGCAAUUGGAAUGAGAACAAUUUAAAUCCCUUAUCGAGGAUCAAUUGGAGGGCAAGUCUGGUGCCAGCAGCCGCGGUAAUUCCAGCUCCAAUAGCGUAUAUUAAAGUUGUUGCAGUUAAAAAGCUCGUAGUCGGAUUCCUGGUGGGAGCGGUCGGUGCGGUCCUCAGGAUUGCUACUCGUACCGUCUCUUGCCAUCCUUGGGUCGAUCCUGUCUGGCAUUAAGUUGUCGGGCAGGGGAUGCCCAUCGUUUACUGUGAAAAAAUUAGAGUGUUUAAAGCAGGCUUAUGCCGUUGAAUAUAUUAGCAUGGAAUAAUAAGAUAGGACUUCGGAACUAUUUUGUCGGUUUGCGUUACGAAGUAAUGAUUAAUAGGGACAGUUGGGGGUAUUCGUAUUUCGUUGUCAGAGGUGAAAUUCUUGGAUUUCCGAAAGACGAACUACUGCGAAAGCAUUUACCAAGGAUGNUUUCAUUAAUCAAGAACGAA
rnacentral:rRNA from 1 species